rnacentral:rRNA from 1 species
AGAGUUUGAUCCUGGCUCAGAAUGAACGCUGGCGGCGUGCUUAAUAUAUGUAAGUUGUAUGAGAAUAUUUUAGUUUGUUAGGGUAAGUAAAGUGGUGUAUGGGUGAUUAACGCGUGGGUAAUCUAUCUUCGAAUUGGGGAUAAUGUUGCGAAAGCGACGUUAAUACCGAAUAAUAUCCAUUUAUCUUUGGAUUUUUGGAUUAAGGGUGGCUUUUAUAUGUAAGCUACUGUUUGAAGAUGAGCCCGCGUACCAUUAGCUUGUUGGUGGGGUAAAGGUUUACCAAGGCUUUGAUGGUUAGUUGGUUUGAGAGGAUGAUCAGCCAUACUGGAAUUGAUACACGGUUUAGAUUUUUAUGGGAGGUAGUAGUGAGGAAUUUUGUGUAAUGGGGGAAAUUCUGAUGUAGCAACGCCGCGUGAGUGAUGAAGGCUUUCGGGUCGUAAAGCUCUGUCAAGUGGGAAGAAUUUGCAGUAUGUUAAUAUCAUAUUGCACUGAUGGUACCACUGAAGGAAGCACCGGCUAAUUCCGUGCUAGUAGUUGUGGUAAUAUGGGGGGUGCAAGCGUUAUUCGGAAUCAUUGGGCGUAAAGAGCACGUAGGCGGCUUGGUAAGUCAGAUGUGAAAGUUUGGGGUUUAAUUUUGGAAGUGCAUUUGAUAUUGUCAGGCUUGAGUAUGGGAGAGGGAAGUGGAAUUUUUGGUGUAGAGGUGAAAUUUGUAGAUAUUAGGAGGAAUAUUGGUGGUGAAGGUGAUUUCCUGGACCAAUACUGACGCUGAGGUGCGAAGGCGUGGGUAGCAAACAGGAUUAGAUAUCCUGGUAGUCCAUGCAGUAAAUGUUGUUCACUAGGUGUAGCGGGUAUUGAUUCCUGCUGUGCCGCAGUUAAUGCAUUAAGUGAACCGCCUGGGGAGUACGGCCGUAAGGUUAAAACUCAAAGGAAUUGACGGGGGCCCGCACAAGCGGUGGAGCAUGUGGUUUAAUUCGACGCAAUGCGAAGAACUUUACCUGGAUUUGACAUCCCGGGAAUCCUAUCGAAAGACUGGAGUGUCUUUCGGGGAGCCCGGAGACAGGUGUUGUAUGGCUGUCGUCAGCUCGUGUUGUGAGAUGUUGGGUUAAGUCUCGCAACGAGCGUAACCCUUGUCUUUAGUUACUAUUAUUUAGUUGGGGAUUUUAAAGAUACUGCCCCGGUUAACGGGGAGGAAGGUGGGGAUGACGUCAAGUCCUCAUGGCCUUUAUGUCCAGGGCUACACACGUGCUACAAUGGGCUGUACAAAGGGUCGCGAACCCGUGAGGGUAAGCUAAUUUUAAAAAGCAGUCCCAAGUUCGGAUUGGAGUCUGCAAUUUGACUCCAUGAAGCUGGAAUCGCUAGUAAUCGCGGAUUAGUAUGCCGCGGUGAAUACGUUCCCGGGCCUUGUACACACCGCCCGUCACACCAUGAGAGUUGGUUGUACCAGAAGUUGUUGGGCUAACCUUUUUAAGGAUGUAGGCGCCUAAGGUAUGGCUGAUAAUUAGGGUGAAGUUGUAAUAAGGUA